UACGUAGGGUGCAAGCGUUAAUCGGAAUUACUGGGCGUAAAGCGUGCGCAGGCGGUUUUGUAAGACUGUCGUGAAAUCCCCGGGCUUAACCUGGGAAUGGCGAUGGUGACUGCAAGGCUAGAGUUUGGCAGAGGGGGGUAGAAUUCCACGUGUAGCAGUGAAAUGCGUAGAUAUGUGGAGGAACACCGAUGGCGAAGGCAGCCCCCUGGGUCAAAACUGACGCUCAUGCACGGAAGCGUGGGGAGCAAACAGG
rnacentral:rRNA from 1 species